rnacentral:rRNA from 1 species
UACGUAGGGUGCAGGCGUUAAUCGGAAUUACUGGGCGUAAAGCGUGCGCAGGCGGUUUGCUAAGACAGGUGUGAAAUCCCCGGGCUCAACCCGGGAACUGCGUCCGAUACUGGAAGGCUUGAAUCCGGGAGAGGGAUGCGGAAUUCCAGGUGUAGCGGUGAAAUGCGUAGAUAUCUGGAGGAACACCGGUGGCGAAGGCGGCAUCCUGGACCGGCAUUGACGCUGAGGCGCGAAAGCCAGGGGAGCAAACGGG